rnacentral:tRNA from 1 species
GAUUCCAUAGUAUAGCGGUUAGCACGUCUGCUUUAUACACAGAAAGUCCUGGGUUCCUUCCCCAGUGGAGCCA